AGUGAACGCUGGCGGUAGGCCUAACACAUGCAAGUCGAACGGCAGCACAGUAAGAGCCUGCUCUUACGGGUGGCGAGUGGCGGACGGGUGAGGAAUACAUCGGAAUCUACUUUUUCGUGGGGGAUAACGUAGGGAAACUUACGCUAAUACCGCAUACGACCUACGGGUGAAAGCAGGGGAUCUUCGGACCUUGCGCGAUUGAAUGAGCCGAUGUCGGAUUAGCUAGUUGGCGGGGUAAAGGCCCACCAAGGCGACGAUCCGUAGCUGGUCUGAGAGGAUGAUCAGCCACACGGGAACUGAGACACGGUCCAGACUCCUACGGGAGGCAGCAGUGGGGAAUAUUGGACAAUGGGCGCAAGCCUGAUCCAGCCAUACCGCGUGGGUAAAGAAGGCCUUCGGGUUGUAAAGCCCUUUUGUUGGGAAAGAAAAGCAGCAGGUUAAUACCCCGCUGUUCUGACGGUACCCAAAGAAUAAGCACCGGCUAACUUCGUG
rnacentral:rRNA from 1 species